rnacentral:rRNA from 1 species
GACGAACGCUGGCGGCGUGCUUAACACAUGCAAGUCGAACGGUGAAGCUCCAGCUUGCUGGAGUGGAUCAGUGGCGAACGGGUGAGUAACACGUGAGCAACCUGCCCCUGACUCUGGAAUAAGCGCUGGAAACGGCGUCUAAUACUGGAUACGAGAAGGGUCCGCAUGGGCACUUUCUGGAAAGUUUUUCGGUUGGGGAUGGGCUCGCGGCCUAUCAGCUUGUUGGUGAGGUAAUGGCUCACCAAGGCGACGACGGGUAGCCGGCCUGAGAGGGCGACCGGCCACAGUGGGACUGAGACACGGCCCAGACUCCUACGGGAGGCAGCAGUGGGGAAUAUUGCACAAUGGGCGAAAGCCUGAUGCAGCGACGCCGCGUGAGGGAUGACGGCCUUCGGGUUGUAAACCUCUUUCAGCAGGGAAGAAGCGAAAGUGACGGUACCGGCAGAAGAAGCACCGGCUAACUACGU